AAGUCGUAACAAGGUUUCCGUAGGUAGCAUGUUUGCCUGCCGGAAGCCCCCGCAGCGACUCUAAAGAAUUGCGUUAGUCGCCCCCUCGAUUCGGGGCAGGCAACGCCAUCACUCUGCGCUGGAAGUCCCCCAUUCGGGGCCAACCAGCAGCUCCGGAGACCCCUGCGGAGUUCACAGAUCAAACGAUAGCGGCCACCUCGGUGGUUGAGAUAUGGUCGGCCUUUAGCUGUCCCCGGCUGGAGAACUCGCGGAACCUGCGGAAGGAUCAUUACCGAGAGAGGGGGCUUCGCGCUCCCGGGGGCUCCGGCCCCCCAACUCUUCACCCACUGUUUACCUACCUUUGUUGCUUUGACGGGCCACGGGGCCUUCCUGCGCUGGCUUUCGGGCCGGCGAGUGCCCGUCAGAGGCCCAUUAAAUUCCGUUUAAUAAGUGACGUCCGAGUAAAAAUUACAAUAGUAAAAA
rnacentral:misc_RNA from 1 species